rnacentral:rRNA from 1 species
GAUGAACGCUAGCGGCAGGCUUAAUACAUGCAAGUCGAGGGGCAGCACGGGUAGCAAUACCUGGUGGCGACCGGCAAACGGGUGCGGAACACGUACGCAACCUUCCCAGAACAGGUGAAUAGCCCUCCGAAAGGAGGAUUAAUACACCGUAAUAUAUAGAUGUGGCAUCACAUUUAUCUUAAAGGUAGCAAUAUCGGUUUUGGAUGGGCGUGCGCCUGAUUAGGUAGUUGGGCGGGUAACGGCCCACCAAGCCUCCGAUCAGUAACUGGUGUGAGAGCACGACCAGUCACACGGGCACUGAGACACGGGCCCGACUCCUACGGGAGGCAGCAGUAAGGAAUAUUGGUCAAUGGACGCAAGUCUGAACCAGCCAUGCCGCGUGAAGGAUGAAGGCCCUCUGGGUUGU